AAACAGAAGAACAAAGAAGACCAAGAACAUCGUGGCUUCUAGAAGUUUAUGCGAAUUCUAAAGUUACCAUUGCAAACAUCUUCUGACGGUGCAAGACUUUCAGAGGCGAACAAAAAUCGAAGAAGAAAUUCCCUUUUAAAUACGCAGAAGUUUUCGUACUUCACGCCUCUUUCUUCGGAAUCGUAAGCUUUCUCGGGAAAUUUCCGUAGAAAUCGAAUAAUAAUUUCUUUAAAAACUGCCGUCAAAAAUAAGACAGAAAUUCUUUGAAAAUCCAAAAAAAGUAGGUCGAAAAAAUAGGCUUCUAAGAGUGAAGCGAAAAUUCCUCCAAAAGCAAAGGAGAAAGUCCUUAAUAAAUGAAAGGCUUCC
rnacentral:misc_RNA from 1 species